rnacentral:lncRNA from 10 species
UUCAAAUUGAAGGUUAGGCUUUCACGACAAAAGGAGCCUCCGCUCUGAAAAAUUUAACUCCCAGGUUUGGAUAGAUGCCGCACAUGGAAGAGAGAGAUCAGCAUCUGCUGGGCUACACUUUGUUUGACAUAGCCCUUUCUUUCCACCAAUACUGAAAUGGCUUUCAGCAAAGCCUGUGGGCACUGUGGUUUCCACAGCAGUCCUCUCAGGAGGGGCAGACACUGACAAAGCAUUUAGCUUCAGCCUUGUGACUGGUGACAUGCUGAAGCCAACCAGUUGGCUACCUACAUGGAAAACUAUGAGACUCACCUCCCCCCUUACCCUUGUUUUGUAGAGAUGCCUGCCUGAAAUUCCACUUCUGGGUCCUUAUCCCUUUCCUACAAUUAUGCAGCUUCUUUCAAUUGCAGAGAAGGGUCAGCCUGCAAAAACAACAGGUCCACAAACUAAAACGUUGCUUGCUAAUAAUUUUAUGAAUCAAUCCACAAGAAGUGGGCUCCUAUAAUUCCCUAUUAUUUAAAAGCAUUUAUUAUGCUUUUAAAUCACUUCUGAAUUUUUUUAUUUUUCUUGAUUCCAGUUAGUAGAUGGAAAAAAAUAUAUAAGCUCUAAGGUGGUAAAUGAUUAGAGUUUUUUCACACUGCUGAGUGAAGGGUGUCACAUUUAAUGCAGCUCUGCAUAAAACCAGGCUUCAAAGGUGGCUAAUCAUCUAGUUGUCAAUUCAUCAUUUAGGUAGCAGAGAAAAUAAGCUUCACAUUAAUGUGUAUUUACCCUUUAUAAAUAUUGGCAAACAUUAUCUCUUCUAAAAAUUCUUCUCUGAAUUCCCAGAAUGAAGAGUUUUUCUCUGACCUGUGUUCCCAGGGCAGCCUGAACUUUCCAUGGUCACUUACCAAAAUAUAUUAAAAUUGUGCCUCUGUCUCUCCAGUUGAGAGAGAACAGCCAUGUCUCACUCAGGACCCCGACUUCUGGAAUUUGAGGAAGGAAUCUUUUUUAGGGAGUAUUACCAAUGGAGCUUCAGCAACCAGGUAGGCACUGUGGUGGGCAUCACAAAUAUAAUAUCAUAUUUAAUGCUCACAACAAUCUUUUGAGCUACAUAUUUUGAAGAUGGGGAAAUCAUAGUUCAAGACGGGAAGUAAUUUUUCCAAUGUUCUACCAUGUGUAAAUUCCAGAGUCUGACAUCUUUAUUGAGUUUGGUCUUCAUGAUCUGUCAUGAUAAACUAUCCCAAUAUCAGUAAGUCAGAAAGUUCCUCAGGUAUAAAGUAAGAUUGAGACAUUUAUGCAAUCAGGGUAGCACAGAUUUUUACAGUUAUGUUGGUUUAUGUGGAAAUGUAAGGUGCUUAAAUAGAUGCUAGCAUAUUAGAACCUGUGGAAAAUUGGAACCUAAAUUAGAGGUGAAAGGUAGAUAUAGGAAAAGAUAUAGAAGACUAAGGUCAGCCAAGGUGUAAGUCAUAAGAGAAAUAAAAGAAAAUUAAUGUGUUUUUCCCCUAGGUACAUAGUGAGUAUCUUGAAUAUGUGAUGCUAAAUCUCAGUAACAUCAUAAUAAAAUAUGUAGCACAGCCAGCCAGAAAUUAUAUUAAGACAGCAUAUUAAAAAGGAUCCAAUAGUUCAAUAUCUAGAAUAUAGCCUCUGUGUACCAAAUCUUAUUUAACUAAUACCUCUUAAUUGGCAUUUAAGUUGUUUCCUAUUGAAUUUUUUAACUUGAGACUUAAUAAACAUAUUGAAAGUAUUUCUUAAAAAUAACUGAACAAAUUUGAAUGAAACCUUUAAAAACAUACUAUCAAUUAAAUCUAAAUGUAUCUCUUUAACUCAUUUUCUCCAGAUUAGUCUCUUUUCAAUGAAAUUCCAAAUCAAUUUCUGGUCUUUCCUUAAGCUUAGUUGAUAGUAAUCAACCAGUAUGACUAAAAGAAUACAUAGUCCUUGUUCUGGUCCAGUACAAAUCCUUUUUUUUUUAAAUAAGAUUCUAGUUUUUGUUACCCUUGUCCUCUUGUAUAUCCCAUAAGGUCUUGUUGGUCUUCAGUUUAUUAUGGAAUAAUUCUAUUCAUAUUUAUGUCUAUCUAUCUAUCUAUCUAUCUAUCUAUCUAUCUAUCUAUCUAUCAUCUAUCUAUCUAUCCAUACAUACAUACAUAUGACAGUUCGUACUUCCUAUAUCAGCACUUGAUUGACUGUAAGGAUAGUCUUUUCUUCUUCCUCUUCCUCUUCCUCCUCCUCCUUCUCUUCUCCUCUCCUCCCCUCCCCUCCCCCCUACUCCCCUCC